rnacentral:rRNA from 1 species
AGUGAACGCUGGCGGUAGGCCUAACACAUGCAAGUCGAACGGCAGCACAGUAAGAGCUUGCUCUUACGGGUGGCGAGUGGCGGACGGGUGAGGAAUACAUCGGAAUCUACUUUUUCGUGGGGGAUAACGUAGGGAAACUUACGCUAAUACCGCAUACGACCUACGGGUGAAAGCAGGGGAUCUUCGGACCUUGCGCGAUUGAAUGAGCCGAUGUCGGAUUAGCUAGUUGGCGGGGUAAAGGCCCACCAAGGCGACGAUCCGUAGCUGGUCUGAGAGGAUGAUCAGCCACACUGUAACUGAGACACGGUCCAGACUCCUACGGGAGGCAGCAGUGGGGAAUAUUGGACAAUGGGCGCAAUCCUGAUCCAGCCAUACCGCGUGGGUGAAGAAGGCCUUCGGGUUUUAAAGCCCUUUUGUUGGGAAAGAAAAGCAGCAGGUUAAUACCCCGCUGUUCUGACGGUACCCAAAGAAUAAGCACCGGCUAAUUUCGUG